GACGGGACCGCACAAGCGGUGGAUGAUGUGGUUUAAUUCGAUGCAACGCGAAAACCUUACCCACCUUUGACAUGGCAGGAAUCCCGAAGAGAUUUGGGAGUGCUCGAAAGAGAACCUGCACACAGGUGCUGCAUGGCUGUCGUCAGCUCGUGUCGUGAGAUGUUGGGUUAAGUCCCGCAACGAGCGCAACCCUUGCCAUUAGUUGCUACGAAAGGGCACUCUAAUGGGACUGCCGGUGACAAACCGGAGGAAGGUGGGGAUGACGUCAAGUCCUCAUGGCCCUUAUAGGUGGGGCUACACACGUCAUACAAUGGCCGGUACAGAGGGUAGCCAACCCGCGAGGGGGAGCCAAUCCCACAAAGCCGGUCGUAGUCCGGAUCGCAGUCUGCAACUCGACUGCGUGAAGUCGGAAUCGCUAGUAAUCGCGGAUCAGCAUGUCGCGGUGAAUACGUUCCCGGGUCUU
rnacentral:rRNA from 1 species